rnacentral:rRNA from 1 species
AGAGUUUGAUCCUGGCUCAGAUUGAACGCUGGCGGUAUGCUUAACACAUGCAAGUCGAACGGAAACGAAACUAGCUUGCUAGUAGGCGUCGAGUGGCGGACGGGUGAGUAACGCGUAGGAAUCUGCCUGAUAGUGGGGGAUAGCCCGAAGAAAUUCGGAUUAAUACCGCAUAAUCUAUUCGUAGUAAAGUGGGGGACUUUCGAGCCUCACGCUAUCAGAUGAGCCUGCGUAAGAUUAGCUUGUUGGUAGGGUAAAAGCCUACCAAGGCAACGAUCUUUAGCUGGUCUGAGAGGAUGAUCAGCCACAUCGGGACUGAGACACGGCCCGAACUCCUACGGGAGGCAGCAGUGGGGAAUAUUGGACAAUGGGGGCAACCCUGAUCCAGCAAUACCGCGUGUGUGAAGAAGGCCUGAGGGUUGUAAAGCACUUUCAAUUGUGAAGAAAAGUUAACGGUUAAUAACCGUUGACCUUGACGUUAACUUUAGAAGAAGCACCGGCUAACUCCGUGCCAGCAGCCGCGGUAAUACGGAGGGUGCAAGCGUUAAUCGGAAUUACUGGGCGUAAAGCGUGCGUAGGCGGUUUAUUAAGUCAGAUGUGAAAGCCCCGGGCUUAACCUGGGAACUGCAUUUGAAACUGGUCAACUAGAGUAUGGUAGAGGAAAGUGGAAUUUCUGGUGUAGCGGUGAAAUGCGUAGAUAUCAGAAGGAACAUCAAUGGCGAAGGCAGCUUUCUGGACCAAUACUGACGCUGAGGUACGAAAGCGUGGGUAGCAAACAGGAUUAGAUACCCUGGUAGUCCACGCCGUAAACGAUGAUAACUAGCCGUUGGGGGGAUUUACCCCUUAGUGGCGAAGCUAACGCGUUAAGUUAUCCGCCUGGGGAGUACGGCCGCAAGGCUAAAACUCAAAGGAAUUGACGGGGACCCGCACAAGCGGUGGAGCAUGUGGUUUAAUUCGAUGCAACGCGAAGAACCUUACCUGGUCUUGACAUCCUGCGAACUUUCUAGAAAUAGAUUGGUGCCUUCGGGAACGCAGUGACAGGUGCUGCAUGGCUGUCGUCAGCUCGUGUCGUGAGAUGUUGGGUUAAGUCCCGUAACGAGCGCAACCCCUACCCUUAAUUGCCAUCGGGUUAUGCCGGGCACUUUAGGGGGACUGCCGGUGACAAGCCGGAGGAGGGUGGGGAUGACGUCAAGUCCUCAUGGCCUUUAUGACCAGGGCUACACACGUGUUACAAUGGGAGUUACAGAGGGAAGCUAAGCCGCGAGGCCAUGCCAAUCCCAGAAAAACUUUCUCAGUUCGGAUCGCAGUCUGCAACUCGACUGCGUGAAGCUGGAAUCGCUAGUAAUCGCGGAUCAGCACGCCGCGGUGAAUACGUUCCCGGGCCUUGUACACACCGCCCGUCACACCAUGGGAGCCGACAAGGGCAGAAGUCGCCGAGCUAACCUUCGGGAAGCAGGCGCCCAAGCUGUUGUUGACGACUGGGGUGAAGUCGUAACAAGGUAACC